GAUGAACGCUGGCGGCGUGCCUAAUACAUGCAAGUCGAGCGAACAGACGAGGAGCUUGCUCCUCUGACGUUAGCGGCGGACGGGUGAGUAACACGUGGAUAACCUACCUAUAAGACUGGGAUAACUUCGGGAAACCGGAGCUAAUACCGGAUAAUAUAUUGAACCGCAUGGUUCAAUAGUGAAAGACGGUUUUGCUGUCACUUAUAGAUGGAUCCGCGCCGCAUUAGCUAGUUGGUAAGGUAACGGCUUACCAAGGCGACGAUGCGUAGCCGACCUGAGAGGGUGAUCGGCCACACUUGAACUGAGACACGGUCCAGACUCCUACGGGAGGCAGCAGUAGGGAAUCUUCCGCGAUGGGCGAAAGCCUGACGGAGCAACGCCGCGUGAGUGAUGAAGGUCUUCGGAUCGUAAAACUCUGUUAUUAGGGAAGAACAAAUGUGUAAGUAACUAUGCACGUCUUGACGGUACCUAAUCAGAAAGCCACGGCUAACUACGUG
rnacentral:rRNA from 1 species